UCGAUUCCCUUAGUAGCGGCGAGCGAAACGGGAAGAGCCCAAACCAACAAGCUUGCUUGUUGGGGUUGUAGGACACUCUAUACGGAGUUACAAAGGACGACAUUAGACGAAUCAUCUGGAAAGAUGAAUCAAAGAAGGUAAUAAUCCUGUAGUCGAAAAUGUUGUCUCUCUUGAGUGGAUCCUGAGUACGACGGAGCACGUGAAAUUCCGUCGGAAUCUGGGAGGACCAUCUCCUAAGGCUAAAUACUCUCUAGUGACCGAUAGUGAACCAGUACCGUGAGGGAAAGGUGAAAAGCACCCCGGAAGGGGAGUGAAAUAGAACCUGAAACCGUGUGCUUACAAGUAGUCAGAGCCCGUUAAUGGGUGAUGGCGUGCCUUUUGUAGAAUGAACCGGCGAGUUACGAUUUGAUGCAAGGUUAAGCAGUAAAUGUGGAGCCGUAGCGAAAGCGAGUCUGAAUAGGGCGUUUAGUAUUUGGUCGUAGACCCGAAACCAGGUGAUCUACCCUUGGUCAGGUUGAAGUUCAGGUAACACUGAAUGGAGGACCGAACCGACUUACGUUGAAAAGUGAGCGGAUGAACUGAGGGUAGCGGAGAAAUUCCAAUCGAACCUGGAGAUAGCUGGUUCUCUCCGAAAUAGCUUUAGGGCUAGCCUCAAGUGAUGAUUAUUGGAGGUAGAGCACUGUUUGGACGAGGGGCCCCUCUCGGGUUACCGAAUUCAGACAAACUCCGAAUGCCAAUUAAUUUAACUUGGGAGUCAGAACAUGGGUGAUAAGGUCCGUGUUCGAAAGGGAAACAGCCCAGACCACCAGCUAAGGUCCCAAAAUAUAUGUUAAGUGGAAAAGGAUGUGGCGUUGCCCAGACAACUAGGAUGUUGGCUUAGAAGCAGCCAUCAUUUAAAGAGUGCGUAAUAGCUCACUAGUCGAGUGACACUGCGCCGAAAAUGUACCGGGGCU
rnacentral:rRNA from 1 species